rnacentral:misc_RNA from 1 species
UUGUGGAGGAGGACGCCGAAGGUGGGGCUAAUGACUGGGGUGAAGUCGUAACAAGGUAGCCGUACCGGAAGGUGCGGCUGGAUCACCUCCUAACAGGGAGACAACAAAAUGUUUAAUAUCAUUAUUUUGUCACCUUAGGUCGAUCGGUAUCUCACGUUCUUAAAUUUAUUAAGAAUUUCAUUUCCUAAGUUUUUCUAGGUCACACCCAUUAUUUUUCCUGGGCCAUUAGCUCAGGUGGUUAGAGCGCACCCCUGAUAAGGGUGAGGUCCCUGGUUCAAGUCCAGGAUGGCCCAUAUCUCUAUGUUGGGGGUAUAGCUCAGUUGGUAGAGCGCCUGCUUUGCAAGCAGGAUGUCAGCGGUUCGAGUCCGCUUACCUCCACUGAUUACCACCUCUUCCAUAACCGGUAGUAAAGGAAAUGUUUUGAGUUGUGAUCAAAUUCUGAAAGAAUCUAGCUUCCUAAUGAAAUCAUUAAGAUGCUGGACUCAUUGAAUUAAUUUCAUUGUUUUCAGAGAACCUUGACAACUGCAUAGAUUAUUUUUAAAGACAAUAAGCAUCUUUAAUGAUGCAGAUUUAUUAUUUGUGCGAAUGCAUUAAUAACAAUUCUAUUAAGCUGAUGCUUCAAUUUUGAAGUUAUUGGUCAAGCUACAA